rnacentral:lncRNA from 1 species
UGGUGACAAAGCCCUACUUGAGCACAGAAGGCAGGCUUUCGAUAGAAAUGGGUAAGAAAUUCACAGCCAAAGCUAUUUGGAAAUGCAGACGAAAACUUCUCUCAUAUGACCUCUUGAGGGACAACACCACACACUCUCCUUUGAUCAACUGUCCACUGUCACUUUUUAGCCCAAAUCUCUACAACAGGUCCCGUCUUCCGCUUCCCCAGAAGGCUGUGAGCUCCCAGCCUUGUGUCUAGUUUCUGAGACAGCCUGCUCUCCCAAGCAACCCUCCAUCGGGACAGCACUUCCUGGUGGGUGGGUAUCUGUUUUACCUCUGGAAUCUUCAUGUGCAUGGAAGGAGGGGUCAGCAGGACGUUCCCACGGGGCCAGCUGUCAGCUAGAUGACCUUCUAGUCUCUUGCUGAGCGCCCCUCCCCCCCAGGCCCAUCCUUUCACACAUCUUUGAAAUCUGAAGCCUCCUUGUAGAUUUGCAGCCUGUGAUAACAACCAGCAUAAGGCCCAUAUUUAAACAGCAUUCUCUUUUUAAGCGCCUCUGUCUUGUUGGAGGGCCUCUUUGCUUAUUUUAAGCUUUUCUUGCAUGACCACAGCCCUGGGGCUUCCAGAGAAAAGGAAACUUCUGUUUCCACUAAUCAUUAUGUUCAGAGAUGGCCCUGCUCCCUGGAGGCCCUGCUGCCUCCCUUUCCCUAGCACAUUCCCUGAUGGGCUCUGGGAGAUCAAAUUCUGUGAAAAGCUCCUUGAUUAGCAUAAGCCAUUAAUCCGCUGUCCCCAUCAAGUAAUGAAGGCUUGGUAGAGGGAGGGACAGCCUAGAGCUAAGAUAGAUGAAAGCUGCAGAAAGAAAGUGGUUCCCUGCAGAUAAUCCAAGUGCCCAGAGCCUGGGCAUCAAGGUUUAUGGGAGCAAGAACCACAGAGCUGACCAGAAUAGGGAGGCAUGACGAUUUGAAAGACACCAACAAAGUGGGACCAGAACAGAACUCACUUCUGUUUCUCACCCCGGGAAACAAACCUGUAUUUCCAAAGCUGAAGAAGGUAUUUCUAGUCUUCCAUGAAGGCUCAUUUCUCUCUCCUGUGUGCACCACCAUUGUCUUCUUUUUAAAAAGGCAUGUUUGGGGCCCAGAGCAGAUCUUCUGGUUGAAUGUGGCAUGCAGCAAAAUUGCUACAAAAGUAAGACAUGAAUCCCUAUCUUCCCAGUCAAAAGGAAAGCAUAUGUCUACAAAGGCACUGCUUUCUCUACUCUGACUUGGUGUCAGAGUGACCUCACGGGAUAGUCUUCACUCUCAAAUUGUCUCUGCUCUCUGUCUUAUAGUCUAGCUACAUCAAGUGCAUUCCAAACUGCAAGGCAUAGUUAUUCAGAAUUGUAUCUGGACGAUGGGUUGGGUCAGCAAGGGAUGACCCAGCAGAACCCUUCUUUAUAAGACCAUCUGCCAUCUGUCUCCUUCGGAAGAACCAUUCCUGUCACCUACCCCAAGCUUCCCAGGUGGCCCAAGAAGGAUCUCUUCUAUAAUCUCCUGGACAAUCGGUGGUCACAAACCUUCUUGGUCACCAUCUUUCCCACUUCCCACACAUUUCCCUCAGCCUCCUCACUGUACAUAGCCUUUACUCGCCAUGAUGGUAUCCCCGUUGCUUCUCAAACAUGUUCUGUGGUUUUUCAGGUAGAAUUAGAGGUUUGGAAACAACCAUGAGAUUCAACAGAAGCCCCGGUUAUAUGAGUGUCACCAGCCUGGACACCA